AUGCACGCUGGCGGCGUGCUUCACACAUGCAAGUCGAACGAUGAAGCCCAGCUUGCUGGGUGGAUUAGUGGCGAACGGGUGAGUAACACGUGAGUAACCUGCCCUUAACUCUGGGAUAAGCCUGGGAAACUGGGUCUAAUACCGGAUAGGAGCGUCCACCGCAUGGUGGGUGUUGGAAAGAUUUAUCGGUUUUGGAUGGACUCGCGGCCUAUCAGCUUGUUGGUGAGGUAAUGGCUCACCAAGGCGACGACGGGUAGCCGGCCUGAGAGGGUGACCGGCCACACUGGGACUGAGACACGGCCCAGACUCCUACGGGAGGCAGCAGUGGGGAAUAUUGCACAAUGGGCGCAAGCCUGAUGCAGCGACGCCGCGUGAGGGAUGACGGCCUUCGGGUUGUAAACCUCUUUCAGUAGGGAAGAAGCGAAAGUGACGGUACCUGCAGAAGAAGCACCGGCUAACUACGUG
rnacentral:rRNA from 1 species